rnacentral:rRNA from 1 species
UACGUAGGGGGCAAGCGUUAUCCGGAUUUACUGGGUGUAAAGGGGGCGCAGACGGCGAUGCAAGCCAGGAGUGAAAGCCCGGGGCCCAACCCCGGGACUGCCCUUGGAACUGCAUGGCUGGAGUGCGGGAGGGGCAGGCGGAAUUCCUGGUGUAGCGGUGAAAUGCGUAGAUAUCAGGAGGAACACCGGCGGCGAAGGCGGCCUGCUGGACUGCGACUGACGUUGAGGCUCGAAAGCGUGGGGAGCGAACAGG